rnacentral:lncRNA from 13 species
AUGCUGAAGACCUUUGGAUGGGGAUUUAGCAUAGUUGUCCUUUUUGUUGAUAUUGAUGCUAUUGCUAUCUGUUUGUUAGUUUUCCUUCUAACAGUCAGCCUCCUCUUCUUCAGGUCUGCUGGAGUUUGCUGGAGGUCCAAGCCAUACCCUGUUUGCCUGGUUAUCACCAGCAGAGACUGCAGAACAGCAAAGAUUUCUACCUGCUCCUUCCUCUGGAAGCUUCAUCCCAGAGGGCCACCUGUCAGAUGCCAAUUGGAACUCUCCUGUAUGAAGUGUCUGUCAACCCCUGCUGGGAGGUCUGCUGGAGUUUCCUGGAGGUCCACUCCUGUUUGCCUGGGUAUCAUCAGUGGAGGCUGCAAGACAGCAAAAACUGCUGCCUGUAUCCUCCUCUGGAAGCUUCGUCUCAGAGGGGAACCCACCAGAUGCCAGCCAGAUAUCUCCUGUAUGAGGAGGCGCAUACCUUGCAGACGCAAGGGGAAGCUGAAUUAUCUUAAGUACCAUCAUCAUAAUCAACACCAUUGCCAAAGGAAGAGGCCAAGAGCCCAGCACACAGGAGGCACUCGGGGAAGAGACAAAAAGGAGGCAAAGGAAAGUUCGAGGCUCAGCCCCGGCUAG